UACGUAGGUGGCAAGCGUUGUCCGGAUUUACUGGGCGUAAAGCGCGCGCAGGUGGCGCGUCAAGUCUGGUGUGAAAGCCUCCGGCUCAACCGGAGGAGGCCACUGGAGACUGGCGUGCUCGAGGUGGGUAGGGGUCGGUGGAAUUCCCGGUGUAGUGGUGAAAUGCGUAGAUAUCGGGAGGAACACCAGUGGCGAAGGCGGCCUUCUGGACAGUGACUGACGCUGAGACGCGAAAGCGUGGGGAGCAAACAGG
rnacentral:rRNA from 1 species